rnacentral:misc_RNA from 1 species
AGUUGAGUUGAGUUGAGUUUAUCAACAUCUCCACAUUUCCUAGAACCAUCAAUUAUAAGGUUCCACACUUGUGGCUUUGGUGUCAUUGACUUUUCUAUCAUACAUUGAAGGUACUCAUUAGCCUUAAAAAGAUCUUCCUGAGUACAUAGUUCAUGAAUCAGAACUUUGUAUGAUAUCUGAUCAGGUGCAACUCCCAUUCUCAACAUUACA